ACCGACAUAUGUCUGGAAAAAGGCUAUAAAUAUCCCACUUGCCUCUUUACUCUUCUGUAUGGCCAUGGGAGCAGAGCAAGAACUCUCAGAUCUCAUUUGGUUUUGAUAAUUUUCCCGGUUCGAAGGUGAAGAAGCUGCGAACAGACGAAACCUAGCACAGACUGUGAUCAUAAUUUCUGUUUCUUUCCAUAUCGCCGACGCCGGGGAAUAUAAUCGAGAGAAGUGUUAUAUGUUGACAGGGAUAGUUACCUUAUGGUCUCACCCCUUGAAACAUUGGAGCGAUAUUGUGAAGAUGGGUAACUACAGUAUAUACAAAUUCUAACAUGGCUUCCCAAUUCUUUAACCACGCCAGGAAGAAGAAAUUAGCAUCCGGGCGGGAUGGAUCUCUACCUGUAGCUGAAUUUAUUUGAAUGAUAAUUGUAUACUUUAUUUGUAUGGUUCUCUGAUGAGCCACUUCUUCAAAUAAGUGAGAGACUGGGUGUAUUGGGGUUUAGGUUUUACAGUUUUGAGAGAAGUCAAAUCUUUAUUUGUCUCUUUGCUCACAUGAGUUUCUCUUUUGUUCUACUUUGGUUCUCUUUGUUCUAUCUACUUUACAAAGCUACUUUUGAUUUCUCCUAAAAA